rnacentral:lncRNA from 1 species
CUUGUCUCUGGCGGUGAAUGCUAAUACUUGGCGCAAAACUGUUACGUUGUCCGAUUUGGAAUCUAAGUUGACCGCCGCGGUUCCCUUGCUUUCCUGUAUACGUAUGAUGAUCAACGUUCCCCCCUUGCGUUGACCUUGCCACCGACUCGGUCGUGCAGUUUCAACGCACUACCUUACAAUAUCAUCAUUUGAUAAUAUUGUUCAGCAGGCCUUUACAGUUGGUCUGGCUCACAAAUG